GCCAGUGGUGGCGCGCGUUGUUCGGAAUUACUGGGCUUAAAGGGCGAGUAGGCGUCCCGGUAAGUCGGAUGUGGAAUCUUUUUGCUUAACGAAAAAAUUGCAUCUGAAACUAUCGGGAUUGAGUCAGUGAGGGGAGGGCGGAAUUCCUGGUGUAGCGGUGAAAUGCGUAGAUAUCAGGAGGAAGGCCUGUGGCGAAGGCGGCCCUCUGGCACUGUACUGACGCUGAGGCGCGAAAGCGUGGGGAGCAAACAGG
rnacentral:rRNA from 1 species